ACCGAUCGCGCCACCGUUCUCGCAACUAGCCUUCUUGUUUUGGUCGAAUCUAAUGAGUUUGUUUAUCGCAUUGACGAACUCAGGAUUAACUGGUGAAUGGAUGAAAAUGAUAGAAAGAAAACAUCAAUUUAAUCGAACAGGAUAUCCGCGGAUGCAGGAGGCAGCCGGCUGGGAGGAUGACGGCGAGCGCGCAAGAGCGAGAAGUCGGUAACUUAACUGGCCUAAAUGGGUUUAACUCGAUGUGAUUUUGCUGGCGAACCACUAAAUUGAACGAAUACGAACUAAACUGAACUCAACUAAGCUAAUCAUAUCACAUUACUAGCGUUAUUAGCCGAGAGACGAUAUAAGUGAAGGUCCGGUGGUACCAGGCUGCAGUAACGGGUCGCCUCCUGCACUGACCCUCUGUACGACUUUCUUUUCGACCUCUUUUUCUCGAUCAUGAUGUUCGCGUCUUCUAUUUAUUCGAUCUUUGAAUUACGGAAAUGUGUUUACGGUCAAGUUUUACUGCAGUCGAUUCCAAAACAACUUUUAGGUUAGUUUCUUAUGAAAGUUGGAUGCAAGUUGAAGUUUCUCGAAGGAAAUGGACAAUUCUUGAUGCACACGAGGUCUGGGAAACGAUGUUGGCCGAUCCUGGCCGAACAGAAACGCUAUCAUGGUCGUGAAACAGGAAACACGUGCUCUGAGUGAAAGUGACAGAUCACCGCGCGCCAAAUUCGAAAUAAAGAUCAAAGAAUCGUAUACGAUUUUCGAUUUAUAGUGUCAUUCGUGAAGAGUAAAACGUAACAUUUUAAAAAAUGUGCGAUGGAAAGAAUUUUUUCUUAUUGAGAAUUCUAUAUAGUGAAAUAUAUGGUGAAUAAGUGAUAUAGUUUAUCUUCAAAAGGAAUUUGAUUUGUAUUUUUUGGUAUAAAUUACGGAAUUUCUUAAUACGUAUAAUUAUAAUAAUCGUAUAUGGAUUUUAAGUUCAAAUUUAUUUAACUUUGUUAAAUGUAAUUAAAUUAAAUCAGUGUCUAAAUUAUAAUUUUUAAAAAAUUUUUUUAUUUAAUUAAAAUUAUUAUAUUAUAUACUUAUAAAUAUUAUAAAAUCAUAUAUUAAUUUUUUUCAUAUUUACGCUUACAUUUAUAUAUUAUGAAUAUAUUUUAUAUUCCUACAUUUUCGAAGACAAUAUAAAAUUAAAUUCUUUUCAAAUAUCAAUGUAAUCCAUAUAUAAUAAAAAAACUUCCUAUGAUAUUAAAUUGUAUUUAAUACUCGAUAUUCAUAAAACAAUUCAAAAUAUUGAAUCAAGAAGUCAUCAUUGUUAUUAUACAACAAUAAAUUUUCAUUGAAUAAGAAUACAUGUAUUCUGUAACAAAAAAACCGCAAGAUUUAAUACAUAAGAUAAACAGAAGAUAGAUGGAAAGUGGAGGAUAUUGAUAGCGAAAGAAAGAAAAAAUAGUAUAAUUAUCUCCCACCAACCAUUUCGUUGGUAACUAGAGAGGGGAAGAAACCUGGAGGAAAGAUAAGAACGAAGUAGAUACGAUACGUUCUUCUCCCACUACCUCCACUAGCGGAAUAGAAGGAGUUCCUCGGCUCCACCUCUUCCCCUUCCGAUGGUAUUCUCUUUCAAUAGUAGAGAACGUUGUAACUUCCACCUUACCACCAUUCCACCCCAUAAAUAUUUCAUUAUUUACAUUUUUUUGACAAUUGUACAUCAAUUUUUCAACAAUUUGUUCAAUUUGUUCAAUUUAUAUUAAAUCUAUUUUUUAAAAUUAAUUAAUUAAUUAAUUUGAAUCUAAUUUUGUUUAUUCAAAAUCAACCAAACAAAUCUAAUACACUUCAAACAUUAAUCAAAUAUUGAUCUAUUAUCAUAAUGUAAUUUUUACUUUUUUAAUUUAAAAUCUACCUCUUUCCUCGCUUUUCCUUAUUUUAUUAUUAUUAUUUUUUUUUUAGAAUAAAAAAAACAUGCGAUAUUUCCAUGCAUAUGUAUCUAUAAAUUUUUAUGCGGAGAAUGGAGUUGCAAGUUGAUGGAAACCAGACAAAGGGAAAGAUACUCCCGUUGAAAAAUAUAUUUAGAUCGAGCGACAGAAGGAAACGAGAUGAAGAGGAGAGAGACUAUCCGAGCGACUUUUUGCACGCGAGCCUGUUUUUUUUUUUUACGUCGUAGGUAUGCCGACCGGAUAGUAUUGCCGUGUGGCCAGGCUGACAGGACCGACCAAUUGAGCCUGUUAACGUCAAUUGGUCUAAAUUAGUUCAAUUGGACGUAAUUGCGCGAAUACGACGGGGAACCUCCGCUCUCUGUUUGCCAGCCAUGCUUGCGUUUCUCUCCUCACGCUGAUAUCGCCGUAUUCUCGGGACUUCCUCCAGGAUUCGGAAAUCGUGAUUCAAAGGAGAAAAUGUAACAUCGCAGCCCGAUGACGUCGCAUCCUUAUUAACCCGACGUAGUCACAUCCGUCGUCAUCCCGUUCUGUAUUCACGUGCAGGGUGUUUCUCGUAAUGAUAUCUUCAUUUAUGUAUUGAAACUAUUCUAUAAAAUUCUAUUACUAAAUUAUGUAUUUCAUAUUAAAAUUUUCUAAUAUAAUGGUACAUAUGCGAUAUUUAUUAGAUAUCUAUUAUGUAUGAUAUUUGAAUAAACUUUUUUUAUAUAAAUAAUUUAUAUAUAAAAUAAGAGAAUGGAAGUUUAAAAAAUCUAAUAUCUUUUUUCUAGCUACAGAUAUUAAUUGCACUUUUUUUUUCAAAAGAUUUAUUAUAUAUUAAUAAAAUUUUCCAAAAAUAAAUACAUUUACAAAUGAGGUUAAGUACAAUAAGAUAUGAUAAAUAAAUUUGUAAAUUUAUCAUAUUUCCAUUUUGUAUCAACACUAUAUUGUAUUAAAUAAACUCUUCAAAAUGGACAAAA